UGAACCGCUGCGCGAAUGGCCCCGCGGCGGCCUGCGUACAUGCGUACGUAGUCGCGUCCGUGGCGCCACUGACGACAACGCUGCCGCGUUGCGCUUCGCCGGACGCCGCGCGGAAGGAAAGCGCGCCUGCGUCUCUGCGCCCGAGCGAAACAGCUGGAGACGAGGAGACCCUUUCGCUUUUUAUGUUCGCCUGCGCUGCGCCGCUCGACGCGAAGCGCUCCUGAAGCAGAUCUGUCCACCGCAGUGGGUCGUCGUUGGUGACGGUUGUUCGUUUGUGUCACGCUGUUCGCGUGCCCGAUUGAUCUGUUUCUGCCGGGCGAUCAGGAGGAGGAGGAGCAUGUUGUUUCGUCAGCUGAAACCGAAAGUGCGACAGCGGGCCGGAACCUUCGUGGUUGUGCGAAGCCGCUGACUCUUUCGGAAGCCCCGCUCUGCAAGUGGCGUUCUCUGUGUUUGCGCGUGUUCUUUCGCGUGUCUGAGGUGUUGGUUUGUCGUGUCGCGUUAUCGCGCGAUCUCGAGACGGUGCUGACUGCUGCGUCGGUGUUUGUGUGUGCGUGAACCGCGUGGUAUUUUGCGCGAUGUGCCACCCCCGUCAAUGCCAACUGGGCGAUGAGGGACGCCGUCGAUGUGCGACAAGCCUACGGGAGAGGGUGUCCUACACUGCCGCGCUUGGUGCGAUUGUAGGAAGCUAGCCAGCUGUGACGUCUGGACGGAAAAUUGCGACGGAGUGAUCAGCGGCUUGGAGAUGGAGGAUUCAUGGGCUAAGGGCUCGGUACCCGCGGACGUACCUAGUGAACUAAAAUGCAAUAGUACGACCGGGACAUCUCGCUGCAUACAGGUAAGUUUUAACGUUACACGCGCCCGUACAACCCUCUCCCCGCGACAGCUCGG
rnacentral:misc_RNA from 1 species